rnacentral:tRNA from 1 species
AGCGGGGUAGCUCAGUUGGUAGAGCAAGCGGCUCAUAAUCGCUGUGUCGCCGGUUCAAAUCCGGUCCUCGCUA